rnacentral:rRNA from 1 species
CCCCGGCGCCACGAGUGGUCAUCACGAUUAUUGGGCCUAAAGCGUUCGUAGCCGGUCUGGUAAAUCUCUUGUGAAAUUGUUCGGCUUAACCGGACAGCGUGCAGGAGACACUGCUAGGCUCGAGACCGGGAGGCGUUAGAAGUAUUCCAUGGGGACUGGUAAAAUGGGAUAAUCCAUGGAAGACUACCGAUGGCGAAGGCAUCUAACGAGAACGGAUCUGACGGUGAGGAACGAAAGCCAGGGGA